rnacentral:rRNA from 1 species
ACGGCAUUAAGUGCUUGCACUUUUUGGACGUCGACCGGCGCACGGGUGAGUAACGCGUAUCCAACCUGCCCCUUACCAGGGAAUAACCCGUUGAAAGACGGACUAAUGCCCUAUGCAGUCCUUUGACGGCAUCAGAUUAGGACUAAAGAUUCAUCGGUAUGGGAUGGGGAUGCGUCUGAUUAGCUUGUUGGCGGGGUAACGGCCCACCAAGGCAUCGAUCAGUAGGGGUUCUGAGAGGAAGGUCCCCCACAUAGGAACUGAGACACGGUCCUAACUCCUACGGGAGGCAGCAGUGAGGAAUAUUGGUCAAUGGGCGCUAGCCUGAACCAGCCAAGUAGCGUGCAGGAUGACGGCCCUAUGGGUUGUAAACUGCUUUUAUGCGGGGAUAAAGUUACCCACGUGUGGGUGUUUGCAGGUACCGCAUGAAUAAGGACCGGCUAAUUCCGUGCCAGCAGCCGCGGUAAUACGGAAGGUCCGGGCGUUAUCCGGAUUUAUUGGGUUUAAAGGGAGUGUAGGCGGCCUGUUAAGCGUGUUGUGAAAUGUAGAUGCUCAACAUCUGAACUGCAGCGCGAACUGGCUGGCUUGAGUACACGCAACGUGGGCGGAAUUCAUGGUGUAGCGGUGAAAUGCUUA